UACGUAGGGUGCGAGCGUUAAUCGGAAUUACUGGGCGUAAAGUGUGCGCAGGCGGCCGCGCAAGUCGAGUGUGAAAGCCCCGGGCUUAACUUGGGAAUUGCGCUCGAAACUACGUGGCUGGAGUGUGGCAGAGGAAGGUGGAAUUCCAGGUGUAGCGGUGAAAUGCGUAGAGAUGUGGAGGAACACCGAUGGCGAAGGCAGCCUCCUGGGCCAACACUGACGCUCAGGCACGAAAGCGUGGGGAGCAAACAGG
rnacentral:rRNA from 1 species